GAUGAACGCUAGCGGCAGGCCUAACACAUGCAAGUCGAGGGGCAUCAUAAAACAAGCUUGCUUGUUUGGUGGCGACCGGCGCACGGGUGCGUAACGCGUAUGCAACCUACCCUGUACUGGGGGAUAGCCCGGAGAAAUUCGGACUAAGACCCCAUAGUAUUCUUGAAUGGCAGCAUUUGAGGAUUAAAGGUUACGGUACAGGAUGGGCAUGCGUCCUAGUAGCUAGAUGGUGAGGUAACGGCUUACCAUGGCAACGAUCAGUAUCCGGCCUGAGAGGGCGGACGGACACACUGGGACUGAGACACGGCCCAGACCCCUACGGGAGGCAGCAGUGGGGAAUUGUUCGCAAUGGGCGCAAGCCUGACGACGCAACGCCGCGUGGAGGAUGAAGACCCUCGGGUCGUAAACUCCUUUCGAUCGAGACGAACGGCCUUCGGGUGAAUAUCCCGGAGGAGUGACGGUACCGAGAGAAGAAGCCCCGGCUAACUCCGUGCCAGCCGCCGCGGUAAUAC
rnacentral:rRNA from 1 species